GACUGUUUAAAUACCAAUUCCAAUUGAACCAGGAAAUGUAUCAGUCCAUUCAAGGAUCAAACAGCAGUUUUGAAUUUUGUCUUUCAGCUCCUUAGAGAACAAGUUGUGCGAACACUACUGAAACACUGAAAAGUUGGAAACGUUAAGAAAACGUCAAAUUAAGUUCACCACUUCACUUGUAAAGGUUAUAAAGUAGUGCAUUGUAGGGUUAUGUAGAAAUUUUCACUGGAAAUCAUAUAGUGUAUGUCCAUGUCUUAAUGUUGUAGUAUUUGAGCGAAGGCUCAGCAUAGACAUCUAACCCGCCCAGUUUAUCAUAACUUGCUGCACUUGAAAGGUUGUAUUGUUGUGUCAUGCACAACCCACGAGUGCAACUGGGAGGUUAUUAGAGUCACACACCUGCUCCAGGUGGAGGAAAGAGGGGGCAGUCUGCAGCGGGAGCCCAGAGAAUAAAAUGAAGGAAACGGGAAGGAAAUGACGAAGGCUUUUCUCUGAACCCACACAACUACCACUCUCCCUUUGUCAUCCUGUAUGGAAACUUCGACUCGCACAAACACACAUGCGCAUGCACAGUAUGUUGUUGUUGUGACGAGGAUGAAAAGUUGGGUACACAGACAUAACAGCAUAGAGACAAAGAAAAGAAAUAAGGCGAAAAAGCAGUUGGUGCUCUACUCAGUGCCAUUCUAGUUUGAUAUGAUCAGUUAGGCAGUCUAAUGUUGCUCAUUAAAAAGUAAAUAUAUUUGAAA